rnacentral:rRNA from 1 species
UACAGAGGUCUCAAGCGUUGUUCGGAUUCAUUGGGCGUAAAGGGUGCGUAGGUGGCGCCGUAAGUCGGGUGUGAAAUUUCGGAGCUUAACUCCGAAACUGCAUUCGAUACUGCGGUGCUUGAGGACUGGAGAGGAGACUGGAAUUCAUGGUGUAGCAGUGAAAUGCGUAGAGAUCAUGAGGAAGACCAGUGGCGAAGGCGGGUCUCUGGACAGUUUCUGACACUGAGGCACGAAGGCCAGGGGAGCAAACGGG